rnacentral:rRNA from 1 species
CGAAGGGGGCUAGCGUUGUUCGGAUUUACUGGGCGUAAAGGGUACGCAGGCGGCCUAUCAAGUCAGGGGUGAAAUCCCGGGGCUCAACCCCGGAACUGCCUUUGAAACUGGUAGGCUAGAGUAUGGGAGAGGUGAGUGGAAUUCCUAGUGUAGAGGUGAAAUUCGUAGAUAUUAGGAGGAACACCGGUGGCGAAGGCGGCUCACUGGCCCAUAACUGACGCUCAGGUACGAAAGCGUGGGGAGCAAACAGGAUUAGAUACCCUGGUAGUCCACGCUGUAAACGAUGAAUGCUAGUUGUUGGAACCUUCAGGUUUCAGUGACGCAGUUAACGCGUUAAGCAUUCCGCCUGGGGAGUACGGUCGCAAGAUUA